GACGAACGCUGGCGGCGUGCCUAAUACAUGCAAGUUGAGCGCUGAAGGUUGGUACUUGUACCGACUGGAUGAGCAGCGAACGGGUGAGUAACGCGUGGGGAAUCUGCCUUUGAGCGGGGGACAACAUUUGGAAACGAAUGCUAAUACCGCAUAAAAACUUUAAACACAAGUUUUAAGUUUGAAAGAUGCAAUUGCAUCACUCAAAGAUGAUCCCGCGUUGUAUUAGCUAGUUGGUGAGGUAAAGGCUCACCAAGGCGAUGAUACAUAGCCGACCUGAGAGGGUGAUCGGCCACAUUGGGACUGAGACACGGCCCAAACUCCUACGGGAGGCAGCAGUAGGGAAUCUUCGGCAAUGGACGAAAGUCUGACCGAGCAACGCCGCGUGAGUGAAGAAGGUUGUCGGGUCGUAAAACUCGGUUGGUAGAGAAGAACGUUGGUGAGAGUGGAAAGCUCAUCAAGUGACGGUAACUACCCAGAAAGGGACGGCUAACUACGUG
rnacentral:rRNA from 1 species